rnacentral:rRNA from 1 species
AGUGAACGCUGGCGGUAGGCCUAACACAUGCAAGUCGAACGGCAGCACAGUAAGAGCUUGCUCUUACGGGUGGCGAGUGGCGGACGGGUGAGGAAUACAUCGGAAUCUACUUUUUCGUGGGAGAUAACGUAGGGAAACUUACGCUAAUACCGCAUACGACCUACGGGUGAAAGCAGGGGAUCUUCGGACCUUGCGCGAUUGAAUGAGCCGAUGUCGGAUUAGCUAGUUGGCGGGGUAAAGGCCCACCAAGGCGACGAUCCGUAGCUGGUCUGAGAGGAUGAUCAGCCACACUGGAACUGAGACACGGUCCAGACUCCUACGGGAGGCAGCAGUGGGGAAUAUUGGACAAUGGGCGCAAGCCUGAUCCAGCCAUACCGCGUGGGUGAGGAAGGCCUUCGGGUUGUAAAGCCCUUUUGUUGGGAAAGAAAAGCAGCAGGUUAAUACCCCGCUGUUCUGACGGUACCCAAAGAAUAAGCACCGGCUAACUUCGUG